AUCAGGAAAUGGCACCUCCCUCUAGCGGUCUUCCUGCAGAAUGCCAUGCUGAAUGCGUCACAGCUUCUGGAGCAGUUAUUUUCGAGUGGCUCUUUUUGUGUUGUUUUUGAGUAUGGAAAUUCUAUAAAUUACGUUAAAAAAAACACAUAACUUUUUUUUUUGUCUUAACACACAAAAUGUGUAUUCAAUCUUCUUAAUGUAUUCCAAAGACGAGCUUAACUCUUCUUUAUGCAACAAACACUAUUUAAUCAACACUUCUUUAUUUAAAAACAAUGUUAACAGGAAAGAACGCUAACAGUCAGGUGUGGAGCACGUGCUUGUUUUGGUGGAAAAAGAACUGUCCAGACCUCCGCCAGGACCUGCACAGGCUGUAGCUCUAUCGGCGGUAAGUAUAAAAGCGGCGGUUUAUCAGUGUUUAUUUACAGUCACAGUGUUUAACCUCACGCUUCCUACCUCGCUAAGCAGAUCAUGUCUGAGGUCAAGGCACUCAUCACUCAGAUAACAGAUGCGUUAAAGUAACAUCUGAAGUAGUUGGCCAGACUGAGCCUAGUGCUUCAGCAGCUGGUGAAGGUGGGAGCGGAGGGAGAGAAGGACUCUUGAGCAGAAGGUACUGCACUGAAAUGCUUCAAGCUGCUUUCACACUUGGGUGUGUUUGAAUACACACCUGGUCAGAAUAACUUUCAGACAUCAUGUCCGGACCUGCGCACGACCAACAGGCUGUAGCUCUAGACCCGGCGGUAAGGAUGCACAGUAAGGUGAUGUAAUGACGUGUGCCGUUAAUCUAAUUAUGUUCUAUAACAUGUAAAACGGGUACCAGUAUUCUAAAAGUGACUCAUGUAAACGCUUUAAUCACAUUAUUAUCUUACUCAGAGUGAGGUUAAUAAUUAGAUUACUGCUGUCCAUGUAAACGUAGUCUUAUUCUCGGUCUCUCUCUACGUAUUCAUUACACACCUGUUUGACUGACUGUGUUUAACGUGCAGAACAAGCAGUAGGACUACCUGGCGCAGGCCGAGCUGAGCCGAAUGCUUCAGGAGAAACAACAGCUGGCCAAGAUGGGAGCGGAGGGAGCGACGGUGGAGAAGAAUCUUGAGCAGAAGAUCAGCACAGAGAACAGCAUUGUGCUCUACCAGUGUGGGUGAUUAUCCUGAUAGUGAUGAUUUUGCUGCUGGAUGUUGGACUGGUUCUGAUAUUUCUGCACCAGAGGAGAGAAAUUCAGUCCUUAGAAAGGAGAUGUGUAAGUACCGCUGUGACAUCAGAGAUCACAUGACUGUGUGCUGUAAACAGAAUAAAAUCCACAGCACAUCCCCCUGAUUAGACGCCACUCAGUCACUGCAUGGACACUUCCACAACAGAAAUAUAAUUAUCUCCUAUAAAUGACACUUUUACUGUCAGAAUAGUUCCACAUUUUAUUCAGUAAUGUCACAUGAUCACUGAGAGAGAACACUUCACCCUUUAAACAUCAGAUUAUUCAUAGUUUAAAAUAUUUAUCUGAACACUCAGCAUUGCAUACCAUGCUCUGACUCUUUAAAAGUGAAUUCCUCCAGUCUCACACUGAGAAGAAAUCCUCUACAGUUUCUUUAUAAAUAAACACUUUCAACUGAAUUGUAUUCACCAGGCUUGGAGGAGAUGUGAUGUUACUGAGAGUAGGCAUGUCGAGCUGGUGUUUAACCAUUAUUAAUAGUGUUUAAUGACUCUGUGUGUGUGUUAAC